rnacentral:lncRNA from 1 species
CUACGUGUAAUUUUUAGAUGACCCCACGUCUGUUUUUAGGUUUUCUCCAAUUGAGUAAAAUAUGCUUAAGGUUGUAAUAAAUUUUCAAGUUCUGAACUUCUCCGAUUCUCUUCCUCUUCCUCAAAUUUCUUCGACUUGCAGGUACAAUUUUAAUCAAUUUUGCCCAUGAUUUUUGCUAAACAUCUCAUAUAGAAAACAAUCCCUUCCUCUUCAACUUCAAUUUUGUAGUUUUGUCUUUGUAUUUGUUUCUCCUUCUUUUUGCCGUUUUAAUUAGUUUCACCCAACAUGCAUUUUUUUUGGUUGAGAUUCCCAGUCCAUUUAUGAUACUGGUAUGGGUAUUAAACCUAAAUUGAAAGAAAUUUUUGGGUAUAGUAUUACAGUGCUUACUCAAGUUUCAGCUGCUCUGUUCAUACUUCUUUUGUGCCCUUUUCAACUUCAAUUUUGUACUUCUGUAUUUGUUUUCUCCUUCUUUUGCUCUUUCAAUUAGUUUUAACCCACAUGCAAAUUUCAGUCCAUUGAUGAUACUGGUAUAGAUAUUAAUCCUAAUUAAAAGAAAGAAAUUUUUAGGUAUUUGUUCAUGGGUUAAUUAAAAGAAAGAUUGAAGUGUUUCAAAUGGAUAUCCAUUUAAAAACCAACAAAAAAAUGAUUCUUACACAUUUUUGAACAAUUAAGAGAGCAACUUGGAAAAUAAACUAGUUAGUAGUUCAUGUAAGUAUUGUUCAAAUAACAGAAAAUCUGACAAGAAAUUAUAGCAGUAAAGCUUUUCUUUAAAGUAUUGGUUUGCUUGUUCCUGUAAGCUUUCCUUUCCCCAUGCAUAUUUUGUGUAGAUUGCCUCAGUAUUGUAUAGAGAAGUAAAACUUCAGUAUUGUAUAGUAUUGUAAAACUUCAGUAUUGUAUAGAGCAGUUAAACUUCACUAUUGCCUCAGUAUUGUAUAGAGCAGUAAAACUUCAUCAUUGUAAAACUUCAGUGGAUCAUAGAGCAAACAAAGGAAAAAUCAAAGCAUGCACAAGUACUAAAAAUGAUAUAUGUUGAAACUAUACAUGCAUUGUGGAUGAUGAGAAACAUCAGGGUAUUUGAAUGUACUUCGUGAGACUAUGAAAGUUUAGCACGCGAGAUAGUAUAUGUCUGCAACCUUAGAGAUGGAAGGAAUGUGAAAGGAUGGUUACAACAUCUUUAUUUCUAGACUUUUAAACAAGAUCAGUAGCUUAGAUAGUAAAGUUGUAUAGGAACUAGAGAGUCUGUUUUGUAUAUUGUCUUUAGUUGAUAUAGCUAAGCUGAGUUUAAGCUUAGCUAUUGCACUGUUGCUGAAAAUACUUCAAUGUCUCACGGUACUACUCAUCUUUAUCCUUCGGCAAAAUACUAUUUGAGUUUUCUAUUAUUUGAAUUUUCCUCCUUCAAUUUUCAUGUAAACUUGCAAGAGUUAGCAUGAACACCAAAAGCUUGCAGUUUUCACUUAUUGAUAUUAUAACAGUAACUUCACUUGCCUAAAUAAAUCUCAAGGGUAUCUAACUUUUACCUACAUUUUAAAAUUGUUCUUUUUCCGUAAGAACACACCGGAAGCCACCCCACAACUUGAUUCUUAUUUUGACAGUACUUAUAAUUAUCAUCAUCGUAAUUAACGUGGUUGUUGUUGUUCUGUUCACUGCUUGUAAUUUCAGAAUACACCCUUUUCUUCCAAUUUAUUCUCCAAUUUCCCCUGGAAGUCUGAUCCAUUACAACCCUCAGUGUGGCAGCAAGAUUUUGGUGUUCUUUUAGGCAGGGAAAGUCCAUGUACUUGUGCAGAUUGGUAUUUAACAUGUAGUUGGUUCACAACUGUGAUAACUUAUCUUUUUAUUGCCCGGAUGGUUGGUCAGAUGGUGUUGUGCAUUAGAUAGUUACUUAAUGAUAAGCAUCUCCUUUAUGGUCUCUUAGAAACUUCUUUAAUAUUUCUCAGGCUUAAUAAAUAGCUAAAGGAAAGAAAAGACCUACCUUCCACCCGUAACAUGAGAUUUAGAGUAAAUAAAGAACAACUUGGGAAUCAAAUUCUGGAGCAACUUCCAGGCAUAUUUUGCUUUUGGAUUUUAACGCUUUUAACAUCACCAGCUGAAGCUUGACUUUGACUUGAAUCCCCAAAAACAGACACAGAAUUGUCUCUAAUUUUACUGCUAAAGAUAUUUGAAACUCCUAGUUCUAGGGAUGGAAUUGACACAUGACCUUUCUGAGGUGCCAAUGAACAUAAGGGGCUAAAUUUGGAAGAAGAUUUUGGAGAUUCGAUUUUUUAGAUUUGUUAUGUUUCAAGAUCUGGAUUUGAAUUUGUCUUUGUCUUCAAUAAUUGGUGGGACUGUUUGAUACACAUUGUUCUUUGAUUUGAUAUGGUAUUAGUAAAAGGAAAUAAGAAGUAAAGAACUCAUAGCUAAAAGCUUUUUCUGAAGCUUAGGAUUUCCAGUCCAAGCUUUUCAUUUGACAUGGUGUGAACAAAGGAAAGUUGUCUGUGGAUCUGUCUCUUUAUGUGAACCAUUAUUUUGCAUAUCUUUUGCCUGUUUACACUAUUUUUGGGCAAAAGGUGUAAAAAUGGAGAGUAACUGAAAAGCUGAACUUGAGAGAAUAAAGAAUAAGGUAUACUUGAUUUUGAUCAACAAACCUACUUAUCUAUAUAGAAAAAUAGGUGCCAUUUGAAUCUGGAAAGCUGGUUUCUUCAAUGAAAGCUUAGGGCAGUGUUUUGUAGUGAGUGUAGAAGUCAAACAUUUUUCUUGUUAUGAUCAAAUUUUAGCAUCUGCAUUAAACCAAAUAUAGUAAUUAAGAUAUGAUCAAAAUGAAUAAUAUAUACUGACAGCAGGGAAAUUGAGGUUUAUAGAAGAACUAUAGCUUCUUCUUAAGUGAAAUCCUGCCAAGUCUCGCAUAUAGUGCAUGUUUUUUGCUAUCUAAAUUGGUGUGAUCAUCUCUGUCUUGCAUUCCUCUUAUAUUUAAUGUUACGCUAGUAGGAGAAGAAGAUUUUCUUGCUUAUGUAUACAUCUACAUCUACAGUGCAUCACAAACCUUUUAGUUGUGUUUAACUGAUUGUAUGUGAAGUUUGUCAAACUUGUGAUGUUGCUGCUACUUGCCUGCCCUUCUAAACAAAGUCACAACACACAACAAUAUACAACUCUAAUCCCUCCAUACAUAAUCUUCCAUCCUGAUGCACCACGUAUUAGGGGCUAUAGUUCUUAGACAAUUGACUUCUGGCCUUUUCUGGAAAGAUGAAAAUAGUAUUUUAUAAACAUCUCUGUAUACUCUUUUCCUUUCUUUCCCUAGUGUUCUGUGAUCCAUGCUCAUAUAACUUCAAGCGCAUAUUAACUUACAGACACUUUCUUUGUCUAAUCUAUUUAGUAUUAUGAGCAGAUUAAAGUGACACGCUUCACUAUUAUUGCAGUUUCUCUUCCCAACAUUGCAUGAGCAUUGUGUGUUCUCCUUUACUAUAUGGAACAAUUGACUUAUCUUAUCACAAUUUCAAGCAAGCUUUAACUAACCUGGAAUUGAGGAUUAUUAUAUUUUAUCUAUUGACAUAGUUAUUUUAUAAUUUCAGGUCAUACAGUUUUAUGUUCGAUAAUCAGCGGGCGGAAGAUUUCAAUACGACGAAGAGUUACAGAAAUUAUUUGAAGAUUGUUAUUCGUUAAGAUUAAUUAUAUAAUGACAUUAACUAUUUGCUUCAAACAAUAUAAGUUAUUUUGUAGGGUAUUGUGAUAUUAAUAUUUUGGAUUAGUACUUCCUUUUGUUUGUUAAGAUUUAACGAGAUAUACUAUGGUUUUAUGAAUUAAUAUUAAUAUGUUUUGUUAUUGGCA